rnacentral:lncRNA from 1 species
CUGUUUUUCUCUUUUUUUCCACCAUCUUUUGCAGGCCACUGGCUCCCAUUAAGCUCAUUUCAAAACGUUUUGACCUCAUAUUUUUUUAUGAGAGGAGUGCAGUUUAACUCCAAAGCCGGGUACUUAUGGGGUGACUGGGGGUCCCGCAGAUGUAUAGAAGUAAUUUGGAAGCCAUGCAAAGAUCACAACACUACCAUCCAUUUGGCCCAGACCUCAGGAAGUGCAUGCAGAAGACCACAGGAGUCUGUGCUUCAGACUUGUUCAGAUUAGAUCCAGCUGGGUUUCCGAAGCUCCAGAUUUAUGAGUGACAAAGUGAGGUAAAAUAUUAAAUUUCUGUCAAAAAAUACUCCUUACAUUUAACAGAUCAAAUUCUUAAAAUACAUGCAACUAGCAGAUCUUGAUAAGCUGGUGUGUGUUUUGUAUUAUCAGAAGUGUCCAGAAUCUGCUUUUUCUAAACUUUUCUGAUCCUUCCCACUUCUCGAACUGCAAGGUUUAGAGUCCAUGGUUGUAAGAGCUGUUUCGUAAACACUCUAGGAUUCGUGUUGGCAUGUAAAUGUGAAGACCAUUCAUUCAUUACCAUAGUAAAACCGACAGAAGGCUGCUUUUUAUUGCUACGUGUGCUCCGUUGGAAGAAUGGUGAAGACUCUACCCCCUUAGCUGAUACGUUAGGAUUUUUUCCUCUGACGGCGGGCUUGGAGUCAAAAAGAUCUGACUCAGAAAGCAAAAAAAAAUUCAGACUCCAUCCCCAUCUUACACCUGUGACAAAUAUUCAACAUUGGCUUCUCUCUUUGAUAAAAAAAAUCACACUAUUCUAAAUCUCUCUUCAGUGGAUCUCAAAACUCUGUUAUCGUCCCAAUAUAUCAUCAUUAUUAUUACUAAUAGAGUGAGAGGAAGUCCAAACCCUGAAGUAUUUCAACCACAUUUAACCUGCAAAUUUU